AUUGAACGCUAGCGGCAUGCCUUACACAUGCAAGUCGAACGGAGUGGGGAACGGGUGAGUAAUGUAUCGGUACGUGCCCAGUCGAGGGGGAUAAAUACGCGAAAGAGUAGCUAAUUCCGAACACUAUUGGCGCGGCCGAUACCGGAUUAGCUAGUGGGUGGGGUAACGGCUCACCAAGGCGACGAUCCGUAGCUGGUUUGAGAGGACGACCAGCCACACUGGGACUGAGACACGGCCCAGACUCCUACGGGAGGCAGCAGUGGGGAAUAUUGGACAAUGGGGGAAACCCUGAUCCAGCCAUCCCGCGUGUACGAAGAAGGCCUUCGGGUUGUAAAGUACUUUUGGCAGGAAAGCGGUACCUGCAGAAUAAGCACCGGCUAACUACGUGCCAGCAGCCGCGGUAAUAC
rnacentral:rRNA from 1 species